AUUGAACGCUGGCGGCAUGCCUUACACAUGCAAGUCGAACGGCAGCACGGGAGCAAUCCUGGUGGCGAGUGGCGAACGGGUGAGUAAUAUAUCGGAACGUGCCCAGUCGUGGGGGAUAACGUAGCGAAAGCUACGCUAAUACCGCAUACGAUCUACGGAUGAAAGCGGGGGAUCGCAAGACCUCGCACGAUUGGAGAGGCCGAUAUCAGAUUAGCUAGUUGGUGAGGUAAAGGCUCAACAAGGCGCCGAUCUGUAGCUGGGCUGAGAGGACGGCCAGGCACACUGGACGUGAGACACGGUACAGAUUCCUACGGGAGGCAGCAGUGGGGAAUUUUGGACAAUGGGCGCAAGCCUGAUUCAGCAAUGCCGCGUGCAGGAUGAAGGCCUUCGGGUUGUAAACUGCUUUUGUACGGAACGAAACGGUGAGCUCUAAUACAGUUUGCUAAUGACGGUACCGUAAGAAUAAGCACCGGCUAACUACGUGCCAGCCGCCGCGGUAA
rnacentral:rRNA from 1 species